ensembl:lncRNA
AAACUUUUCUCUUCAAACAAGCCUUUUGUUGAUCUACGUAUUUUAUAUUCUUUACAUUAUUUACAUUUGAUCUUUUACAUUGUGUAUAAUGUCUAUUGAUUGUAUUGUUUAUUUUAAUAUUUGUGUACAGCGCUUUGCGACUGCCUGUCUGUGAAAAGCGCUUAAUAAAUAUUUGUAUAAUUUAGUUGUUCACACAAAGCAUAAAGGUAAAAAAAAAAAAAACGAUAUAUACAGUGUUAUCUUCAUUUUAGAUUUCAAAAAGUAUUUGCAGCUCCCAGUGUUUUCUUUUGUGUGGAAAUCAGGUCCAAGUGGCUCUUUGGGUGUUAAAGGUUGCAGACCCCUGCCCUACACCACACCUUCAGGCGCACCGAGCUGCAGGUGAUGUCUUAAGGACAAGCCCGGAAAUUAAACUAUCAGACAAGAACUAUGAAGCAUUCAAAGAACCCUGUACUUCUGACUGCUGUAAAUCUUACCAGGGUUACAUAGAGGCUGUGAGCUAUCGUCUAAUUCCUUUGUUUUACAUCCUACAGCUUGCUGGGUGUAUCUAGUUUAAAACCAAAAUAAACCUAAAUAGAUGAUUUUAAAGCCAGUUUACAACAAGCUCUUCAAUGAGUGUGUUUAAUGAAAAUGGUUUGUGGGGACUGAGACACCCGCCCCCGUGCCAUUUUACGCUAAAUGCUAAUGUUUCACCAAUCGCCUGUUGUUGGACUGAUGAAGGCCAGUGGGGAAUUUUUUUUUUUUUUUUUUUUUUAUUAACUUUAUGCUUAUAUGCUUUUUAACAAAAGCAAGGGGGGGGGAAAGGGCUGAUCAUAGCCUCUGGCUGUUUGCUUGGUAUCAAAAUGGUCAUUUAUCUCUGCAUGGUAGCUUCUUUGCAUUGUUUGCUUCUCUCACCACAGACAGUGUGAAUUUAACAUUAACAGUAUGCAGUCCCAAAGCAAAUUGAGGUCUUUUGCAUUAGAGGUGGCUGUGUUAAGAUGGGGGUUAGAAGGCAACAGAAAUAAAUCCAGCCACCCAUCAAACAGCUGAGGAAAACCCACUGACAGAGCAACAGCUGCACUGUUUUCUGCAGACUCCUUAAUUGUCUUUAAAUUAAC